AGUUCAGCAGCGAAACAUUUUCGCGAUCGACGCUGUGUGCGACCGACGCCGGUUUUUGCACUCGCCGACGACAGAAGUGCUUUUUUAGUAUCAAACGAAACUGUUCGAACGUCACUAUUUCGAAUACUCGAUUGCAAGCUCAGCGGUUUUGAUGAUUCUAUAAUAGUGUAUUUUGCGGCUAGUAAAGAAUUUUUCGGAAAAGAUCCGUAUUUUCGCGCGAAAAAUAACGGGGAGUGAAAAAGUCCACAAUUGACAUACUCGAUCGGAUAGAGAAACAGCGAGGAUCGGUGAUUGUAUUUUAUAAUACGGAGUCAGGAGAGGCAUAUAUACACCCAACACCUAUAUCUCAACAACAUGGUCGCGCUAAUAAGGACUAGUCGAAAUUGUUUUACGUGAACAGCGACCGCUUUUCAACAGCCCUGAUGAUGACGGAAGAAGAGGUCUCGUCGAACAUGAACGAGCUCACCUCUCUGUAUCUCGACGAGCCUUUUCUGGUCGUAUCGGCGUCCGACGAGUCGACGACGCUGCAACUGGACAACGUCGCCAAUAAAAACAGACAGCGAUUAUCGACAAAAGGCAUUCUGACGCUAAUGAACCACUACGACAGUAUACGCGAGCUGUCGCUCUCGUACUCACUGCUCAGCAACGAGCUGCUGAGGGCACUUAGCAGCAACGAAGCGCUGCACUUGGAAACGCUGAGAGUCGAGGCUCAUCCGGAGUUGAAGCCCCCGGAAGACGUCAGCCAAGAGACUUGGUUCGUUUUUGCCAACCACUCGCCCAACCUGAACUUUGUUCUACUGACGUACCUGAACGAUGCGAGGGACUACGACGCGCUGCUAGCUACGCACGUGCCGCUGACGCACCUUUACUUCGGCGACAGCGCGCCUUCCUCGGCGAUAGCGCGAGUCGCCGAGAGAUGUCCCCGUCUGACGGAACUUGUCGUCGGUGCCUACGGACCGGACACCAUCGACGAGAUCCUUAUCGCCGCAGCUCGGGGUUGCCCCCGAUUAAGCGCCGUUGGACUCGGCGACUGCGAACUCACGUAAUUAUACCUUCUAUGAGCGGCUCGUUUAUGUAUUCGUAUUAUAUCUAGAAACUCUGUUCUGGACUCAUUAAAUUCGUAAGUCUUUGCUGUGAAAGAUUACGAAUGCUUUACGUCUUGGACACAUCUCUACUCGAAGAUGCAGAACAUGACGUAAUGGAAGUUUCAGCGAAAGUUUCCUCGCUUCUAGGAAAAUCAUGGCAUCCUCAUUACGUCCCAUACUGGUAACUCAAGAAAUCGCCGUAACGCAGAAAUUAUCACGUUUUUUAUACCGCCAAAUUGGAAGAAUCGUCUCAACUUUAAUUUAAAGAUACACGAGCAGGUAUACUGGAGACAAAGAUGACCUAUUCCACUGUAUGUAAGGCAGACGCAUACAACUUAAGUAUUAUUUUUAUAAAAAUAAAUCAAACGAUGAACGUUGAGUAAUGACGAAAUCGAGAAAAAAAUUAUAUGUUAUAGCUAUAAUCUUAGUUUUUGUAUCUAAAUGUUAUCUGAUCACAUACAUAAUAAUUGAUAAAAAUUAUGUGAUACAAUGUAAGCCACAUGUUUUAAUUAUGUAUAUAUAAUCAAUAAAAACAUAAGAAAAAAAGAGUGUAAAAAUAAGCGUUAAGGCGAUGUUGCAAGUCAAAAUAAAAUGUGAAAUUGUUUUGUACACGCUUGGAUUGAAAUUACCUGGAUUAAAAUAAUCCCAAUCAAUUGUUCAUUCAAUCUGUUAAAAUGUACACAUAGUUAUUUGUUUCGUUAGUAAAAAAAUCUUUCAUUUGAUACCAAAAAAUAGAAAUUUUAUUAGAUCAUAUCUUCGUUUUUCAAACGCAUAUCAUAUAAUUUUUAUAUAAAAUAAAAUGAUGUCGCUAAUUAAUUAUCAUCGUUAAUCAAUUAUCGUACUCUAUAAUAGAUAUGUAUAAUAAUGUACAAUAAUCAUCGAGAUAAUCAUAAUAUUAUACAAUACGAGGUAUGUACAGCACUAUCUAUUCAAUAUACAACUUCAUAAACAAUUGGACUUUCCAAUAACUCUACAAUUUUUAGUAACAUUAACAAUCAAGCUCAUCUAAUCUAUUAAUUUCUCUUCUAAAAUUCUGUUUAUCCUUGUUUUUGUCUCUUUUUACUUAUUUUUUUCUGAACCAAUGCAAUAGUAUAUGUAAUACUAAACAAUUGAUGCAAAGCGCUCAGUCUUGUGAUCCGAUGGCUAUUUACUUUUCACAUUCCUGAAUUCUUCUAAGGCCAAUACACAACAUCAUUCGUUUUACGCCACUUCUGAGCCAUAUAAACG